rnacentral:misc_RNA from 1 species
GAUGAAGAACGCAGCGAAAUGCGAUACGUAAUGUGAAUUGCAAAUUCAGUGAAUCAUCGAGUCUUUGAACGCACAUUGCGCCCCCUGAUAUUCCGGGGGGCAUGCCUGUCCGAGCGUCAUUGCUGCCCUCAAGCACGGCUUGUGUGUUGGGCCCCGUCCUCCGAUUCCGGGGGACGGGCCCGAAAGGCAGCGGCGGCACCGCGUCCGGUCCUCGAGCGUAUGGGGCUUUGUCACCCGCUCUGUAGGCCCGGCCGGCGCUUGCCGAUCAACCCAAAUUUUUAUCCAGGUUGACCUCGGAUCAGGUAGGGAUACCCGCUGAACUUAAGCAUAUCAAUAAGCGGAGGA